AAAAAAAAGAAAAAAAAAGAGCAGUAAUACUGGGUGGUUGAUUUGUUUUUAGCAGACUUGGCUUCAUUUUUGUCUUUAAAAAAUGGCCAGCAUAAAUGCUGUUUAUAUUCACGUUUUCCUAGGUGUGUGUGUGCAGGCCACAGCAGCAUGCCCUUGGUGUAGUCAGUGCCGAAGGGGGUCUGUUCCUUCUUGAGCCUGCCCGCAGGGAUGGUCUCCUCUUUUAAAGCAGGUUGUGUACAACUUUCAGUACACUGAAGGUAAGCUAACCCAUCAACAUCACUGGUGUUUAAGCUGUUAUUUUACUGGAACAACUGACAAAUGAGAGACAAUAGCAUUGUGGCAGAAUUCCCUGCAUGUGUGAUAAAUGAUCUUGUUUUAUUUUCUGGCAUUGCAACCGUGGCAUAGUUACAACUUCUGUUCUGUUCAUCACAUUUAAAAUUUUGAGAGUGCGCACUUGAUGGAUAGAGCGCCUUCAGUGUACUGUUUCUUAUUACUUUAAUUUUUUUAAUCAACUUGCUAUAUAGACUUUGUAUACAUUUUGUUAAAUACAAUUCACUAUGACAUAGAACCAAUACUUACAGAAGAGUUUUCAUUUAGUAAUUACCUAUGUUGGGAUCUCAUUCGAAAGACCUUACAUCUAAAGGAUAGCUAGACAACAUAAUGAAAUUUUUAACUAUUUGUAUGUCAUUUUGAAAGUGUACUGCUUUAUGCUAAAAGUGUUUCAUUUGUUCAUUGUUUUCAUUAUUUGUGAUCAUGUUGUCUUUCAAUACAGGCAUAAACCUUCCACUCUUGAACAAAGCAGCUGCUUUUUAAAAGCGGUAAUUGCUUCUUUACCUUUUAUUUCUUUUGUAAAUGAAGCUUUUCUUUAAGAAAUGUGACUUUAAAGUGUUGUCUCUUGCAUAAAACAGUUGACACUUACUUAUUGUAAAGUGAAGAUUGUUCUGCUGCAUGUAAAGUGGACCAUGCAGAUUCCUGUAUGUUUUCAGUAUGCAUCAUUAGAUAAUAAAGUCUUUUGUGAACAAGGCAUUUGUAGCCAUUUUUAAAAGAAUCUGUCUUCAGUGAUGGUAAAUCAGGUAAUUCGUAAGAACCACCCCUGCAUUUCCUAUUAAUCAUUUAAUUAAAGGGAUUAUUAAACGUUACGAUCUUUGGGAGAGCUAUAGGCUAUAUUAAUUCAAUAUAUAAUUAUCACUGUUUAAACAAAAACAAAGCAAAAAACCCUACAGAUAAUGUCUGUCUGCUUUCAUUGUAAUUAAAUUAUUCCUGUAGGACAUGGGAUUAAGUUCAGGCUUUAACUAAUGUUUGUGCUGUUUUUCUCACUUUUCCUUUUGAUGGUGCUGAAAGAGAAAAAGGAAAGCGAGUCACAGGCCACUCAACGCCUACUCCAUGGGUCUGAUUUGCUGAGACACCAACUUCACCUUCCUAACAAGGUGCAGUUCAAAAGAAGAUGAUGGCUACCAGAAGACAUGAACAAAGGGUAAGUGGCAUUAAACCUCUGAAGAACCUUUAUGUGUAUAUUGACCCAUACACAGAAGGCAGACCGGUCUGUGAUACUACUGGAGAUAGAGCGAUCUUCUACAGUAUGUGUAAAGUUGUAACUUGGGUGGAGGAUGUUGGGAAGUGGCAAUGGCUUGAAAUUAAUAAAGUAUGCUUAAAACUUAA